AUUGAACGCUGGCGGCAUGCUUUACACAUGCAAGUCGAACGGCAGCGCGGGCUUCGGCCUGGCGGCGAGUGGCGAACGGGUGAGUAAUACAUCGGAACGUGCCCAGUAGUGGGGGAUAGCUCGGCGAAAGCCGGAUUAAUACCUCAUACGACCUGAGGGUGAAAGCGGGGGAUCUUCGGACCUCCCGCUAUUGGAUCGGCCGAUGGCAGAUUAGCUAGUUGGUGGGGUAAAGGCCUACCAAGGCGACGUUCAUUCGCUGGUCUGAGAGGAGGACCAGCCAAACUGGGACUGGGACAGGGCCCAGCCUCCUACGGGAGGCAGCAGUGGGGAAUUUUGGACAAUGGGCGAAAGCCUGAUCCAGCAAUGCCGCGUGUGUGAUGAAGGCCUUCGGGUUGUAAAGCACUUUUGGCGGGAACGAAAAGGACUGUGCCAAUACCACGGUUCGAUGACGGUACCCGCAGAAUAAGCACCGGCUAACUACGUG
rnacentral:rRNA from 1 species